CAGGUUGAUGGGAGCGUGAGCCCUCACCAACUGGAAUGUGGAAAGCCGCGUGCAGAACAGCGCGCUGGUGGUGCGCAAGGAUCGUGUUUCUGUCACUCAUCAAGCCUCCGUUUUCACGAAGGAUCGACCUGGGAUAGGAAGCGCAAGGCUUCCGAACUCCCUAGAAAGGAGGUGAUCCAGCCGCACCUUCCGGUACGGCUA
rnacentral:misc_RNA from 1 species